rnacentral:tRNA from 1 species
GCUCCGUGAGCCAGAUGGGAAGGCACCGGUUUUACACGCCGGCAAGACGCGGCUCGAUCCCGCGACGGAGUACCA